CCUACGGGAGGCAGCAGUGAGGAAUAUUGGUCAAUGGACGAGAGUCUGAACCAGCCAAGUAGCGUGAAGGAUGACUGCCCUAUGGGUUGUAAACUUCUUUUAUAUGGGAAUAAAAUGUUCCACGUGUGGGAUUUUGUAUGUACCAUAUGAAUAAGGAACGGCUAACUCCGUGCCAGCAGCCGCGGUAAUACGGAGGAUCCGAGCGUUAUCCGGAUUUAUUGGGUUUAAAGGGAGCGUAGGUGGAUUGUUAAGUCAGUUGUGAAAGUUUGCGGCUCAACCGUAAAAUUGCAGUUGAAACUGGCAGUCUUGAGUACAGUAGAGGUGGGCGGAAUUCGUGGGGUAGCGGUGAAAUGCUUAGAUAUCACGAAGAACUCCGAUUGCGAAGGCAGUUCACUGGACUGCAACUGACACUGAGGCUCGAAAGUGUGGGUAUCAAACAGGAUUAGAUACCCGUGUAGUC
rnacentral:rRNA from 1 species